GACGAACGCUGGCGGCGUGCUUAACACAUGCAAGUCGAACGAAGUGGCGAACGGGGGAGUAACGCGUAAUCAACCUGCCCUUCAGAGGGGGACAACAGUUGGAAACGACUGCUAAUACCGCAUACGGAAGGAGGGGAUUGUGUCUGAUUCGCUAGUUGGAGCGGUAAGGGCCCACCAAGGCGAUGAUCAGUAGCCGGUCUGAGAGGAUCAGCGUCCGCAUUGGGACUGAGACACGGCCCAGACUCCUACGGUAGGCAGCAGUGGGGAAUCGUCCGGAAUGGACGAAAGUCUGACGGAGCAACUCCGCGUGAGUGAUGACGGCCUUCGGGUUGUAAAGCUCUGUUAAUCGGGACGCGGUACCGGAAUAGCCAGCCACGGCUAACUACGUGCCAGCAGCCGCGGUCCUUC
rnacentral:rRNA from 1 species